AGUGUGAGGAUGACGUGGGAGACUCCUGUUCCCUGACUGAGCCCUGCUGCCCUCCGCUGCAGUGUGUCCAGGGAAAAUGUAUCCCGGGCUGUCUACCCGGAGGGUCUCCGUGUAUCCCCGGGGCCAACCAGUGCUGCAGGUUCUUCGGCCAGCAGUGUGUGGCUGUGGGGAACCCCGCCGCUCCGAUCGCCGUGUGUGGGAGUUGUGUGGCUCGCCUACAGCCCUGUAACCCACAAAUCGCGCCAGGCUUCCUGGGUAGCUGCUGUGACAACUUCGCUUGUAUUGACUUCGGCCUGGGCCCCGUCUGCUUCCCGCCACAGGGCAAAUAGACAAGACACACAAGAAGCACGACCAGGCAGGACGAGAAGAAGAAAAAAAAACCGAAAAUCAGAACAACAUCUGUCGACAUCUCAUCAAUCUCGUUGUUAAAUGUCUUUGUGUUCUCUUUUUCUCGAUUUUAACGUGUCAUUUAGAAAAUGAUAUGUAUUUGAAUAAAAACAAGUUAUAGGGCUAA